rnacentral:rRNA from 1 species
UGCGUAGGUGGCGAGCGUUGUCCGGAUUUACUGGGCGUAAAGGGAGCGUAGGCGGACUUUUAAGUGAGAUGUGAAAUACCCGGGCUCAACUUGGGUGCUGCAUUUCAAACUGGAAGUCUAGAGUGCAGGAGAGGAGAAUGGAAUUCCUAGUGUAGCGGUGAAAUGCGUAGAGAUUAGGAAGAACACCAGUGGCGAAGGCGAUUCUCUGGACUGUAACUGACGCUGAGGCUCGAAAGCGUGGGGAGCAAACAGGAUUAGAUACCCCU